rnacentral:lncRNA from 1 species
UUACAUUAGAGGCAACCUUUAGAGACAAACAAUCUGUCAUGCUGAAUUCAGUCAAAAAAUGUGCCCUACAUGCUACAACUAGUCCCCAGGCUGUUGGUUAUGCUGUGCUGUAAUCAAAUAGUUCCACGGGGGAGAAAGAAAAUACUAAACCUGACAGCUGACGGAAUUUCCGGUAUGUGUUGCUAUAUAUGGAUAACCUUAGAGAUGAAUCUGUUUCCGUUCCACAUUUUUCUUGGCAUGUAAAUUCAUGUUUCUUUGCAUAUAUUGACUAUUCAUUAUUAUGUAUAAUGUGUUGAAGGACAGAUUUGAUAGCAUCAACCAUUAAGCUCAAGUCAUUUUGUUUAUUUAGUUUUUUCUUUUUUUGUAUCGAUGAGCUUUUUCAUAGUAUAAGAUUGAUAUUGUUUCACCAUUGAUGUUAGAGGCAAGCUUGAGACAUGUAAUCUGUUAUACCAUGACCAGAAACAUAUAAAUUUGGGCUACCUUGACCUUCUGUGUUGACUUGAAAAAGAAAAUGAAAAUAAACUAAGGGGCAUGAAUAUAUCUUUUUUGACACUGUUUUUCAAGGUCAAAAUCUUAGCAAUAACAUACAUGAAGGUAUAUUUGUUACGUGCAUAUAUUUACUUAUUAUUGAUUAUUAAAGUCUCAUUCUCACCCCCUUUUUUCAUCUUACCUAUGUAGCUGACAAAUUGGGGGUAAAGGAUAAGGUAUCAGAACAAAAGGAAAUUUGUUGUAAAUUGUAAUGUUGGUACAGGUACUCUGAACCCAUAAUUCUCAUGUCACUGAAAAAAUCGUAAUGGCAGGAUACGCAUCUCUAAGGCUUCUCAAUAGCUAAGGCAUGAAAAUAUGUAUUAGACUGUAGGAAACACCCUUCAACUAGUAUAUAUAGAGAAAAUAUGUCGCAUGGACUUGCUUACAGAAAGUGAACAAAGCUGGUCUGAACUUUCCAUGUUACUUUAUAAUAUCUUGAGAUUUAAGAUCACCACUUCACAACGCAAAUCAGUGGCUGUCCCACCCUGAACUGAUAUUUGUUUGCAGGAGCUGUCCGUAAUGCAAUAUGCCAGGUAUCGAUGGUUAAAUUGUAGGGGCAACUCUGUGGACUAGUCUACAUUAUCAAAAGUUCCACUGUCAAAUUCCUGUUUAUCUUCAUUACCUCCAGACACCAAAACAAGCAAGUUGAUCAGCUCAUGUGAUGCUGUUGCUUGACACAUCCUAAAGGAGAGUGAUGGUAAAAAUCGGGGACUAAUCUGACAAUACAGUAUAUUUAAUGGGUACAUUAAGCUAAAUAAUAUGCGACUUUUUUCCUUAAAAUGAUCAAAUCCACCACAAAUUGUCAAAGAUAAAAGGAAAUUUAACAUUUCAUUGUAUCAGCCAACUUAGAAACUUUUAUAGGUAAAAGCAUACCAUUUAAUGAAAUAACAUGGUCCCUUACCUCAGAUCUUUAUAUAUCUUAAUCAAUUGUCAAAGCUGGUUAAGCAAAUUUGUUAUGAAAAUUAUGAAACUAAAUACAUGUAGUUUAUAUAUUAUGCAGAUUUGAGGGUGAAUGUUGGAGGAUUAUAAUCUCGUACUUACAUCUGAAUAUGUGUUGGAUAUAGGUGUUAGAACAGAUAUUUUAAGAAAAAUGAAGAGUUUAUAUUAAUUAGCUUGUAUGUUGAAGUAAUUUGUGAACAAUGUAAAUCAUUUACAAUUAAAUUAUAUAUGAAACCAACAAUAAAAAGGGGACCAUAGGAAAUUAUAACAAGAAAUAAAAUUUCAAUUGAAUGAUGUGUUCCAAACUGUUACAGAAGCCACCAUCUCUACUAUUCCACUUAGGGGGACUUAUUAUCUGCUCCCCAAGGCAAAAAGGAUGGGAAAAAAGUGUAAAUGGUGUUAGUGAUGUUUGCUUUACAGAAAUGUAUGAGCUGAUUUGACAUAAUUCAAGCGAGAGGUAACAUCAAGAAAGAUAUCUUCGUUGCAGGGAAUUGUGAGACCGCCAGUAGGAUGACUAUAUCCGAACUCUUCUUGUGACAUGCCUAGCAAAUCUUGAAAUGAAGGCUGGUUCAAGAAUGAAAUUGGUAUCACAAACCUCUUCUGGUUUUCUCCAACAUAAACCGCAAAGUAGCCCUUGGGAACUUUCUUAGAGCUAAUGAUAUGAGGUAGGUGGAUAGCCAUUGCUGUUUUUGAUAGAUUUAUGCUUCUCAAAGGGAAGAAAAGGAAGAACUCAGAUAACUAGGAAAGCAAGCUUGAGAAUGUUGAAGGUAGGAGUUGGCAAUGAACUUAAUCCUACUUGUAUAUAUAGAUGUAUAGGGUAGAGAGGAAAUCAUAUUCUUCUAUUAUUAAGUGGGGGAUGUGCAAUGAGUGGUGAAGGUGCAAUUGCUGGGGUCUGAUCAGUAAUGAGAUGGGCAUGGGCUAAUGGGGACUCACAUGGUGUUGUCUUCCAAGGAAUUAUCAAGAAUUCCAUGUCAAAUACUUGAAUGAAUGGUUUUCCUACCUUGCCGGCAAAAUGAACCGACCAAGGACCUACUCAGAUUUGGAAGAUUUGGAUCCAUUAAUAUAGCUUCUUCCUAAUAGAAUAUUUUUAUUACUUCACUAAUGACAAUAGAGGCAACCUUUAGAGACAUACAAUCUGUCAUGCAAUGAUAGAGAACAAAUAACAUGGAUGACUUUGACCUCCUAUUUCAUACAGACUUCACAUAAAACUUGUAAGACAAACCCUUGUGAAGAGCGCCUGAAGUGUGUCCUACAGGCUACAAAAACUCCUCAUCUGAACCCAACUUGUUGCGUUUUAUCCAGGUUUGUUGUCUAUGCCGUGCUGCAAUCAAAUAGUUCCAUAGGGGUGAAGACAAUUAGUCCACAAUUCUGGUGGCAUGUUUGUUGUGUUCUUAGCAUAUUUUGACUAUUCGUUAUUAUAUUGGGGAGAACAGUUGUCAGGUCAAAGUCAGAAAGCUAUUCAAACUACAACAAAUUUCAAUGAAGGCUUCUUCUGCACAUGGGACUGUGAGACUACCCCUUGGAUGAUCAAAGCCAAACUCCUCUUCCAGCCUGAUUUAUCAAUUCUUAAAAUGAAGGGUGCUUCAAGAAUGAAAUUGGAUGGCCUUUGGUUAUUUAUGAAGCUGCUGUCACCUUUUGGAUAAGCUGCUUUGUGUGAACAAGUGCAGGUACUGACAAACACGCAAGUCUUAUGAACUGAGAAAUGUUGCAAGGGCAGAAUACGUUCAUCUCUAAGGCUCCUGAAUAGCUAAUGCAAAAAAUAUAUAUAUGAAAGAGUUGGUAGCCCUCUUACUCUUAUCUCAAAAUGGUCACAAAUCUAUUUGGUGUUACAUUCAGUCAUUUGUAUGUUUGUUUCCAUACAUGACUGGAGUUUAAAGUAGUUGAAAUUUUCUUGAAUUUAACCAAUGAUGAUUAAUCAUUGUUAGAAUUAUGUGACCUAAAUUCUAAGAGAUUGCUUGCAAGUCAAGUUAAACAAAAAUAUAUUUUCUUUCUAGAAGAUUUAGUAUUUAUUAGUAUAAUAUAUUUAGCAUUUAUUAGUAUAGUUUAUUUGACUUACUAAUUUAGCCUAUAAAUAGGCUCAUUUACAAUCUUAGAAUUAAAGAGACACCCAUUAGAUUAGAACUCAUAACACAUUCAGAGAAUUUUGUGUUUACGUUUGAGGGUUCUUUGUUUUUCGGGUUUUCGGGGUUUAGUUUUUAUCUCCAUCUUUUGUACUCUUCAUUCUUUUGCCAUUAUAGUAAAAUUAUCUUUGCCCGUGGUUUUUUAUCCUCUUUUGAGGGGUUUUUCCACGUUAAAUUUGUGUGUUCAUCUUCUCAAUUUCUUCUACUAUUUUUACUUGUUCGUUGCUUAAUCGGGAUGAUCCUAACAAGUGAUAUCAGAGCUAGUUUAACUUUCAUAGAUCAGCCCGGUCAGAGAUGGCAGCAACAAGGUUUGAAAUUGAGAAGUUCGAUGGUGAGACAAAUUUCAAUCUGUGGCAAGUUCGGAUGAUGGCAAUUCUAGUUCAAAAUGGCUUGAAAAAGGUUGUUACAGGGAAAAAGCCUGAGAAUCUAAAUCAAACAGAAUGGGAAGAGCUUGAUGAAAAGGCCUUGUCUGCAAUCCAGUUGUGCCUCGCGAAUACAGUAUUGCAGGAGGUAUUGAUGGAGAAGACCUCAUUCGCCUUGUGGAAAAGGUUAGAAACUCUUUAUGCGACUAAGUCUCUGGCUAACCGUUUAGUGUUGAAACAACAUCUAUUUACGUUUCGCAUGAACGAAGGUGAGCUUCUUAAAGAUCACAUCAGUCAAUUCAUUACUCUUUUAAAUGAUUUAAAGAACGUUGAGGUUCAUAUUGACGAUGAAGAUCAAGCUAUGCUAUUAUUGUGCUCUUUACCCUCUUAUACAAGUCUUUCAGGGAGACCCUGAUUUAUAGCAGAUAGACAAGCUUCCAUUUUGGUAGCAUCAAAGAAACGAGACAAAAGGUGUCGCUAUUACAAAAAGUUAGGUCACGUCAAAGCAGAUUGUUAUAAACUGCGAAAUAAAAGAGCUGCUGAGAGUAACGAGAAAGAUGUAGCUGGUGCUAAUUUGGUCAAUGAAGGCGGUGAUGAUUUCUUGUUAGUGUCAACGAGCGAUAACUCCAAGCUUACGUCUGAGUGGAUCCUAGAUUCAGGAUGUUCUUUCCACAUGUGUCCCAAUAGAGAAUGGUUCUCCACAUACAGUUCAGUUGAAGGUGGAGUUGUGCACAUGGGAAACGAUUCAUCUAGUAAAAUAAUCGGUAUUGGUACUGUUAAAAUUAGGAUACACGAUGGGACGAUUAGGACACUCUCAGAUGUUAGGUAUGUACCUGAUUUACGAAAGAAUCUCAUCUCCUUGAGUAUUUUAGACUUGAAAGGAUGCAGAAUCAACAUCGAGUCGAGCGACAUUAAAGUAUCUCGUGGAGCUCUCGUUUUGUUAAAAGGUAAAAGAACCGACAGUCUUUAUAUUCUGGAAGGUUCUACAGUGACCGGUGAAAUCAGACGUCCCUCGUCCGUUACGGAGUCAAAGUCAACUCAUUUGAAGUGGAGGCAACUUGGUCAUAGGAGGGAAAAAGGUAUGACUGUUUCGUUGAAGAGAGGUUCUCUUUUGGAUGCAGGUUUUGAAAAGUUAGGGCACUGUAUUCGUGAAAAUCAGACCCGGGUUAGUUUUGAUUUGGCAGUGCACAAGUCGAAGGCUAGAAGUCUUCCAGCUUCUAAGCAUAGAUUCGACUCAGUUAAUUCCCUGCAUAGUUCAAGAUAGGCCCAUGGCGGGUUUUGGCAAAGAUGGCAUUGAAAGAAUUCGUGUCAAGGUGGAGAUUGUUAGAAUUAUGUGACCCAAAUUCUAAGAGAUUGCUUGCAAGUCAAGUUAAACAAAAAUAUAUUUUCUUUCUAGAAGAUUUAGUAUUUAUUAGUAUAAUAUAUUUAGCAUUUAUUAGUAUAGUUUAUUUGACUUACUAAUUUAGCCUAUAAAUAGGCUCAUUUACAAUCUUAGAAUUAAAGAGACACCCAUUAGAUUAGAACUCAUAACACAUUCAGAGAAUUUUGUGUUUACGUUUGAGGGUUUUUUGUUUUUCGGGUUUUCGGGGUUUAGUUUUUAUCUCCAUCUUUUGUACUAUUCAUUCUUUUGCCAUUAUAGUAAAAUUAUCUUUGCCCGUGGUUUUUUAUCCUCUUUUGAGGGGUUUUUCCACGUUAAAUUUGUGUGUUCAUCUUCUCAAUUUCUUCUACUAUUUUUAUUUGUUCGUUGCUUAAUCGGGACGAUCCUAACAACCAUUAAUAUAUAAAACCAAAUAAGUAACAAGAAUGAAGUUUACUUUCUGAUAAUACUAAUCAAUAUGUAUCAUGAACUUAUAUCUCUUUUACUUUUCUCUUUUUCGUUAAAAUAUUUUGUCCUUAGCUUUGUUGUAUUAAUCGCUUAGUCCCCAGCCUCAAAUCUUUAUAUAUCUUAAUUCUUGGGCAAAUCUACAUUAAGAAAAUUACUUUGAAAAUUAUAACACGAAAUUGAUCGUUUAAUAAGCUACUAUCAUGGUAAAGAAUACUUGUAAUCUAUCUUAACUAGACAUUGUACUCAUGUUUGAAUAUGUGUUGGCCAUAUGAAAUCGAACAAAAAUGAAGGGUCCAACUCCAAAUAACUUAGCAUGUACUCACGUUUGAAAGUAAUUUUAGAACAAAGUAGAUUAUUUACAGUUUAUAUUAAAGAUGAAUUAACGCGAACAAGUAAAAAAUUCAGAAAGGAAAUAAAAUGACAAUUGAAUGAUGUGUUUUGAACUAUCAUUACUGAUGGAUAGGAGUGUUACACUAAUCACCAUCUCUAGUUCUCCACCCGGGGAGACUUAUAUCAGCUCUCCAAGGCAAAAAGGAUGGAGAAAAAAAUGUUUACAUGUAUUAGUGAUGUUUACUUUACAAAAUUGUAUCACCUGAUUUGUGUUAAUCAUCUCACAAUUACUACAAGCGAGAGGUAACUUCGAGAAAGGUGUCUUCAUUGCAGGGAAUCGUGAGACCACCAGUAGGAUGACUAUAUCCGAACUCUUCUUGUGACAUGCCUAGCAAAUCUUGAAAUGAAGGCUGGUUUAAGAACGACACCGGUAUCACGAACCUCUUCUGGUUUUCUCCAACAUAAACUGCAAAGUAGCCCUUGGGAACCUUCUUAGAGUUAAUGAUACGAGGCAGGCGGAUAGCCAUUGUUGUUUUCGAUAGAUGUAUUCUUCAAAAGGGAAGAGGAGGAAGAUCUCAGAGAACUUGGAAAUCUAAGGUAAAGAAGUUUAUUACUUGAAAAUGUGAAAGUAGGUAUUGCCAAUGAACUUAGUCUUACUUGUAUAUAUAGAUGCGAGUGGCCAAUGGAAAUGUUUCUCUAUUAAGUGGAGGAUGAGGAAUGAGUGGUGAAGGGACAAUUGCUGGGGUCUGAUCAUUAAUGAGAUAGACAUGGGUUAGUGGGGCAUCACAUGGUGUUGUUUUCCAAAGCAUUAUAAAGAAUUCCAUGGCAAAGACUUGAAAGAAUAGUUUGCCUACCCUUUCCGGCAGAACAAACCAACCAAGGUCCCACUUGAAUAUGGAAGAUUUGGAUCCUUAAAAACCUUCUUCACAGUAGAAGAUUCUUAUUACUUCACCAUUUACAUUAGAGGCAACCUUCAGAGACAAGCAAUCUGUCAUGCUGAAUUCACUCAAAAAAUAUGUCAUACAUGCUACAACUAGUCCCCAGGCUGUUGGUUAUGCUGUGCUGUAAUCAAAUAGUUCCACGGGGGAGAAAGACAACACUAAACCUGACAGCUGACGAAAUCUCCGGUAUGUGUUGCUAUAUAUGGAUAACCUUAGAGAUGAAUCUGUUUCCAUUCCACAUUUUUCUUGGCAUGUAAAUUCAUGGUUCUUUGCAUAUAUUGACUAUUCAUUAUUAUGUAUAAUGUGUUGAAGAACAGAUUUGAUAGCAUCAGCCAUUAAGCUCAAGUCACUUUGUUUAUUUAGUUUUUUUUUUGUAUCGAUGAGCUUUUUCAUAGUAUAAGAUUGGUAUUGUUUCACCAUUGAUGUUAGAGGCAAGCUUGAGACAUGUAAUCUGUUAUACUAUGACCAGAAACAUAUACAUUUGGGCUACCUUGACCUUCUAUGUUGACUUGACUAAGAAAAUGAAAAUAAACUAAGGGGCAUGAAUAUAUCUUUUUUGACACUGUUUUUCAAGGUCAAAAUCCUAGCUAUAACAUAUAUGAAGGUAUAUUUGUUACGUGCAUAUAUUUACUUAUUAUUGAUUAUUAAAGUCUCAUUCUCACCCCCUUUUUCAUCUUACCUAUGUGGCUGACAAAUUGGGGGUAAAGGGUAAGGUAUCAGAUCAAAAGGAAAUUUGUUGUAAAUUGUUAUGUUAGUGCAGGUACUCUGAAACCCAUAAUUCUCAUGUCACUGAAAAAAUCGUAAUGGCAGGAUAUGCACCUCUAAGGCUUCUCAAUAGCUAAGGCAUGAAAAUAUGUAUUAGACAGUAGGAAACUGUUGAAAUAUGUAUAUAUUUUAAAUUUAUUUAGGUAGAUAAGUUUUAUUCAUAUUCUAGGAAUAUUUUUAUUUUAUGUUUUAGUAGUUUAUUAGGACAAUGGAACUAUUUUCUUUCAUAUUUUAGUAGUUUAUUAGAAUAAGGGAACUAUUUUCCCAAUUAGGAUUAGAACUCUUUUCUCUAUUUAAGUUCAAUUCUUCAAUUAAUAAUAUAGAACAGUUUUAUUAAAAGCUCUCUUGAAAACUUUCAUGGCAUCUGAGCUAGGUUAAAAUCUCUAGUAACAUCAUGGUUAAAACAACCUUCACUAGAGAAGAAAAAACCUUGGUGCGAUUACUGCAAAAAAUAUUGGCACACUCGAGAAACGUGUUGGAAGCUCCAUGGGAAAUCGACAAAUGGAAGGAAAAAGAGUGGCAAUGGUCGUGGUUCACAAUUAGGGGAUAGCAGAGCUUUCCAAACAACUAAUGGAAAUUAUAAGGGCUAAAGUUCUCUGGAAGGGUCUCCAUUCACUAAGGAACAAUUAGAGCAUCUACACAAGUUUUUUCAAUCACCACAAUUUCGGAUGAAUUCUUCAAUUCCUAACUCAUCCAAUAAUCCUUCUUCCUCUGUUGCCCAAUCAGGUACUGAUUUUUCUAUUUUUUUCAGUGUCAAGCCUUGUAAAACAAACACAUGGAUCAUUGAUUCUGGAGCUAGUGAUCACAUGACUAGUAGUUAUUUUCUUUUUUCAACUUACAUACCUUGCGCAGGAAACAAAAAGAUCAAAGUAGCAGAUGGGUCCUUCUUGGCAAUAGCCGGGAAAGGCACUGUCAAAAUUUCAUCUUCCUUGGUUUUACAUGAUGUUUUACAUGUGCCAAAUCUAGCUUGUAAUCUCAUAUUGGUCAGUAAAUUAUCCCAGUCCUCAAAUUGUCAUGUUAUAUUUGACUCCUCUAUGUGUAAGUUUCAGGACAUGGUCUCGGGGAGGAUGAUUGGCAAUGCUAAAGAAUUUGGUGGAAUUUACUUUCUUGAAGAUGACCAUCUAAGUCAACCAAUAACUACUUUAUGUUUAAAUUCUGUUUCUGAUAAGGUUAUGAUUUGGCAUUAUAGGCUUGGACAUCCUAAUUUUUACUAUUUAAGAUAUUUGUUACCUAAUCUUUUUAAAAAUAAAAGUCAUUCUUCAUAUCAUUGUGAAUUUUGUGAAUUGCUAACAUCAUCGGUCAUUCUUUCCACUUCAAAAAUAUAAAGCCUCCAAACUUUUUUCGUUAAUUCAUAGUGAUGUUUGGGGACCUUCAAGAGUCUCGACCUUUUCAGGAAAACGUUGGUUUGUCACUUUUAUUGAUGAUCAUACUCGACUUUGUUGGGUGUUUUUAUUAAAAGAUAAGUCUGAAGUUAAAAAUGUGUUUCAAUCUUUUUAUACUAUGGUGAAAACACAAUUUGGUGUGAAAAUAGAAGUAUUUCGGACUGAUAAUGGUGGAGAACUUUUUAGCGACCAAUUAGGUGUUUUCUUAACCAAACAUGGAAUAGUCCACCAAAGUUCUUGUACAAAUACACCAUAGCAAAAUGGGAUUGCAGAAAGAAAAAACCGACAUCUUUUGGAAGUAACUAGAGCCUUGAUGUUCACUAGUCAGGUACCACGUUAUCUUUGGAGCGAAGCCUUGUUAACAGCUACAUAUCUUUUAAUAGAAUGCCCAGUAAAACUCUAAACAAUAGAACUCCUUUUAGUCUCUUUAAAGAUAAUUUUCCUAACUCUAAAUUGAUCACAGAUUUAUCCCUCCGAGUUUUUGGGUGUAGUGUUUUUGUUCAUCUUCACAACCAAGGUAAACUAGAUCCUAGAGCAAAAAAAUGUGUCUUUGUUGGUUAUGCUUCUACUAAAAAGGGUUACAAAUGUUAUGAUCCAAUUGAUAGGAAGAUUAUUAUUACCAUGGAUGUCACAUUUGUUGAAACACAAUCUUAUUUUGAUUCUAAUCUUCAGGGAGGGAAUUAUACUAAGGAAGAUUCUAUAAUUGAUCAAGAAAAGAUUAGGAAUAUACAACAUAGGGAUUCUAAUAAUGGGGAAGGCGAAUUUAUAAUUAACACAGAAAUUAAUGAUGUUAAUGUUAAUGAAAAGGAGGAUGAAGGUGUAGAGUCUAAUCAUGAGAAUAAAAAACAAACAAAGGAGUUAAUUGUUUAUUCAAGAAGAAAUCGAAAUCAAGAAAGUGGAAUCCACUAGAUUCAUCACCAAGAAUCCGACCCGCAAGAUCCUGUCAAAAGUCCAGGUAAAACUCAUAAUCCAGUUAAUGAAUUUUCUGAUUUAAAUAUUUCAAUUGCCAAAAGAAAAGGUGUUAGAAAUAUUGUCAAAUAUCCCAUGUCUAACUUUGUAUCCUAUAAAGCCUUGUCUUCGACAUUCUCAACCUUUGUUUCGUGUCUCGAUACUGUACAAAUACCCAAAAAUGUGAAAGAUGCUUUACAGGUUCCUGAGUGGAAGGAGGCUAUUUUAGAAGAGAUGCGCGCUUUUGAAAAAAUAGGUACAUGGGAAACAAUGGAAUUACCUGUAGGGAAAAAAACAAUGGGCUGUAAAUGGGUGUUCACAACCAAAUUCAAACCAGAUGGAUCUUUAGAUAGAUACAAAGCCCGGUUGGUGGCUAAAGGGUACACUCAAACAUAUAUGAUAGAUUAUCUUGAAACGUUUGCUCCAGUGGCCAAAUUAAAUUCCGUUAGAGUUCUUUUAUCAAUUGCUGUUAAUCUUAAUUGGUCUUUAUAGCAGUUAGAUGUGAAGAAUGCUUUCCUAAAUGGAAAACUUGAAGAAGAAGUUUACAUAGAUCCUCCUCCAGGUUUUGAAGAAAAAUUUGGAACUCGAGUAUGUAAACUCAAGAAAUAUUUGUAUGGUCUGAAGCAGUCUCCUUGAGCUUGGUUUGAACUAUUCACUCAAGUUGUUAAAAAACAAGGUUACUCACAAGGGCAAGCUGAUCACACAAUGUUUUAUCGACAUUCACAAAAAGGUAGAAUAGUAGUUAUUAUAGUUUAUGUCGAUGGUAUCAUUCUUACAGGAGAUGAUGUGGAUGAAAUAAGGCGUCUCAAGGAGCAUCUAGCAUUGCAGUUUGAGAUUAAAGACUUGGGUCCUUUGAAAUACUUUCUUGGAAUGGAAGUUGCUCGAUCAAAGAAGGGUCUUGUGGUCUCUCAGAAAAAAUAUGUGAUUGAUCUUUUAAAAGAGGCUGGGAUGAGUGGUUGCCGCCCAGCUGACACACCAAUUGAUCCAAAUGUAAAAUUCGAAAAUAAAGAAGGUCGAUUAGUUGAUAAAGGGCAGUACCAAAGAUUAGUUGGUAAGUUAAUUUACUUAUCACAUACAAGGCCAGACAUUGCUUUUGCAGUGAGUUUAGUGAGUCAAUUUAUGCACUCCCCAAUGGAGGAACAUGAAGAAGCAGUGUUUCGAAUUCUAAGAUACUUAAAGAGUUCACCGGGAAAGGGCUUAUUCUUCAAGAAAUCCGAACAAAGAGGAAUUGAAGCUUAUACAGAUGCAGAUUGGGCAGGCUCAAUAAUAGAUAGAAGAUCUACAUCAGGAUACUAUACAGGGGAAACCUUGUGACUUGGUGAAGCAAAAAACAAAGUGUUGUAGUAAGAAGUAGUGCAGAGGCUGAGUUUAGAUCAAUGGCUCAAGGAAUUUGUGAAAUGAUGUGGUUAAAAAGAAUUAUGGAAGAGCUGAGGAAACCAAUAACUUCACCAAUGAAGUUGUACUGUGAUAGCAAAGCUGCCAUUAGUAUUGCUCACAACCCAGUCCAACAUGAUAGAACUAAACAUGUUGAGAUUGAUAGACACUUCAUCAAUGAGAAGAUUGAAGAAGGCCAAGUGUGCAUGCCGUUUGUUCCUUCAAAACAACAGAUUGCUGACAUACUCACCAAAGGACUCUCUAAGACAAACUUUGAUUUUCUUGUAAGCAAGUUGGGCAUGAUUGAUAUAUAUGCACCAACUUGAGGGAGGGUGUUGAAAUAUAUAUAUAUUUUAAAUUUAUUUAGGUAGAUAAAUCUUAUUUAGGUAGAUAAGUUUUAUUCAUAUUCUAGGAAUAUUUUUAUUUUAUGUUUUAGUAGUUUAUUAGGACAAGGGAACUAUUUUCUUUUAUAUUUUAGUAGUUUAUUAGAAUAAGGGAACUAUUUUCCCAAUUAGGAUUAGAACUCUUUUCUCUAUUUAAGUUCAAUUCUUCAAUUAAUAAUAUAGAACAGUUUUAUUAAAAGCUCUCUUGAAAAAUUUCAGAAACACCCUUUCAACUAGUAUAAAGAGAGAAAAUAUGUCGCAUGGACUUGCCUGCCAGAAUGUGAACAAAGCUGGUCUGAACUUUCCAUGUUACUUUAUAUUAUCUUGAGAUUUAAUAUCACCACUUCACAACGCAAAUCAGUGGCUAUCCCACCCUGAACUGAUAUUUGUUUGCAGGAGCUGUCCGUAAUGCAAUAUGCCAGGUAUCGAUGGUUAAAUUGUAGGGGCAACUCUGUGGACUAGUCUAACAUUAUCAAAAGUUCCACUGUCAAAUUUCCUGGUUAUCUUCAUUACCUCCAGACACCAAAACAAGCAAGUUGAUCAGCUCAUGUGAUGCUGUUGCUUGACAUAUCCUAAAGGAGAGUGAUGGUCAAAACCGGGGACUAAUCUGACAAUACAGUAUACUUAAUGGGUACAUUAAGCUAAAUAAUAAGCGAUUUUUUCCUUAGAAUGACCAAAUCCACCUCAAAUGGACAAAGAUAAAAGAAAAUAUAACAUUUCAUUGUAUCAGCCAACUUAGAAACUUUUAUAGGUAAAGGCAUACCAUUUAAUCAAAUGACUUGGUCCCAUACCUCAGAUCUUUAUCUAUCUUAAUCCAUUGUCAAAGCUGCUUAAGGAAUUUUUUUACGUGAAUUAUGAAACUAUGUACAUGUAGUUUAUAUUAUGCAUAUUUGAGGGUGAAUGUUGGAGGAUUAUACUCUUGUACUUACAUCUGAAUAUGUGUUGGCUAUAGGUGUUAGAACAGAUAUUUUAAGAAAAAUGAAGUGUUUAUAUAACUUGGCUUGUAUGUUGAAGUAAUUUGUGAACAAUGUAAAUCAUUUACAGUUAAAUUAUAUAUGAAACCAACAAUAACAAUGGGACCACAGGAAAUUAUAAGAAGAAAUAAAAUUUCAAUUGAAUGAUGUGUUCCAAACUGUUACAGAAGCCACCAUCUCUAAUAUUCCACUCAGGGAGACUUAUCAUCUGCUCCCCGAGGCAAAAAGGAUGGGAAAAAAGUGUAAAUGGUGUUAGUGAUGUUUGCUUUACAGAAAUGUAUGAGCUGAUUUGUCUUACUUCAAGCGAGAGGUAACAUCGAGAAAGAUGUCUUCGUUGCAGGGAAUUGUGAGACCGCCAGUAGGAUGACUAUAUCCGAACUCUUCUUGUGACAUGCCUAGCAAAUCUUGAAAUGAAGGCUGGUUCAAGAAUGAAACUGGUAUCACAAACCUCUUCUGGUUUUCUCCAACAUAAACCGCAAAGUAGCCCUUGGGAACUUUCUUAGAGCUAAUGAUACGAGGUAGGUGGAUAGUCAUUGUUGUUUUUGAUAGAUGUAUGCUUCUCAAAGGGAAGAAAAGGAAGAACUCAGAUAACUAGGAAAGCACGCUUGAGAAUGUUGAAGGUAGGAGUUGGCAAUGAACUUAAUCCUACUUGUAUAUAAAGAUGUAUAGGGUAGAGAGGAAAUCAUGUUCAUCUAUUAUUAAGUGGGGAAUGUGCAAUGAGUGGUGAAGGUGCAAUUGCUGGGGUCUGAUCAGUAAUGUGAUAGACGUGGGCUAAUGGGGACUCACUUGGUGUUGUCUUCCAAAGUAUUAUCAAGAAUUCCAUGUCAAAUACUUGAAAGACUGGUUUUCCUACCUUACCGGCAAAAUGAACCGCCUAAGGACCUACUCAGAUAUGGAAGAUUUGGAUCCAUUAAUAGCUUCUUCCUAGUAGAAGAUUUUUAUUACUUCACUAAUGAAAAUAGAGGCAACCUUUAGAGACAUACAAUCUGUCAUGCAAUGAUAGGGAACAAAUAACAUGGAUGACUUUGACCUCCUAUUUCAUACAGACUUCACAUAAAGCUUGUAAGACAAACCCUUGUGAAGAGCGCCUGAAGUGUGUCCUACAGGCUACAAAAACUCCUCAUCUGAACCCAACUUGUUGCGUUUUAUCCAGGUUUGUUGUCUAUGCCGUGCUGCAAUCAAAUAGUUCCAUAGGGGUGAAGACAAUUAGUCCACAUUUCUGGUGGCAUGUUUGUUGUGUUCUUAGCAUAUUUUGACUGUUCGUUAUUAUAUUGGGGAGAACAGAUGUCAUGUCAAAGUCAGAAAGCUAUUCAAACUACAACAAAUUUCAAUGAAGGCUUCUUCUGCACAUGGGACUGUGAGACUACCCCUUAGAUGAUCAAAGCCAAACUCCUCUUCCAGCCUGAUUUAUCAAUUCUUAAAAUGAAGGGUGCUUCAAGAAUGAAAUUGGAUGGCCUUUGGUUAUUUAUGAAGCUGCUGUCACCUUUUGGAUAAGCUGCUUUGUGUGAACAAGUGCAGGUACUGACAAACACGCAAGUCUUAUGAACUGAGAAAUGUUGCAAGGGCAGAAUACGUUCAUCUCUAAGGCUCCUGAAUAGCUAAUGCAAAAAAUAUAUAUAUGAAAGAGUUGGUAGCCCUCUUACUCUUAUCUCAAAAUGGUCAAAAAUCUAUUUGAUGUGAC